rnacentral:lncRNA from 1 species
UAGAAGAAUCAGUGGUGGUUGUCUAAUAGAUAGAGCAAGAAAGCUAGGAGCAGCAAGGGCAGUGAUUGGCGAAUCUAUAGUUUCUGGUUCCUCUCUUUCUCUAAAGGUUUAGAAUCAGUGGUGGUUGUCUAAUAGAUAGAGCAAGAAAGCUAGGAGCAGCAAGGGCAGUGAUUGGCGAAUCUAUAGUUUCUGGUUCCUCUCUUUCUCUAAA